rnacentral:sRNA from 1 species
UACCACCGGAAGCCGAAAGUAUGGCAGA